rnacentral:tRNA from 1 species
GCUCCCGUAGUUUAAUGGAUAGAAUGCAGGUUUGCGGUACCUGCGAUUCAGGUUCGAUUCCUGGCGGGAGCA